AUUGAACGCUGGCGGCAGGCCUAACACAUGCAAGUCGAACGGUAACAGGAAGAAGCUUGCUUCUUUGCUGACGAGUGGCGGACGGGUGAGUAAUGUCUGGGAAACUGCCUGAUGGAGGGGGAUAACUACUGGAAACGGUAGCUAAUACCGCAUAACGUCGCAAGACCAAAGAGGGGGACCUUCGGGCCUCUUGCCAUCGGAUGUGCCCAGAUGGGAUUAGCUUGUUGGUGGGGUAACGGCUCACCAAGGCGACGAUCCCUCGCUGGUCUGAGGGGAGUACCAGCCACACUGGAACUGAGACACGGUCCAGACUCCUACGGGAGGCAGCAGUGGGGAAUAUUGCACAAUGGGCGCAAGCCUGAUGCAGCCAUGCCGCGUGUAUGAAGAAGGCCUUCGGGUUGUAAAGUACUUUCAGCGGGGAGGAAGGGAGUAAAGUUAAUACCUUUGCUCAUUGACGUUACCCGCAGAAGAAGCGCCGGCUAACUCCGUGCCAGCAGCCGCCGUAA
rnacentral:rRNA from 1 species